UUAAGUUCAGCGGGUAUCCCUACCUGAUCCGAGGUCAAAGACGGUAUUGUUGCUUCGUGGAUGCGGACCGCGCACCUCGAGAAGCGCAAAUGUGCUGCGCGAGAGGAGGCAAGGACCGCUGCCAAUGAAUUUGGGGCGAGUCCACGCGCAAAGGCGGGACAGACGCCCAACACCAAGCAGAGCUUGAGGGUGUAGAUGAC
rnacentral:misc_RNA from 1 species